GCGGGAGCGGCUCGGGCAGACGCGACAGCCGCUGGCGACUGCAGUCCAGAAGGUCCCCGAGGCAGCGGCACGGAACGGGGCACCGGUGCUCUGCGCCGACCCCAGAAGGCGGCCCCAGGGCCCCGCGGCCGCCGCCCUCGGCAGGGCCCGCGCAUCCCAGCACCGCGCACAGCAGCAAUCCCAGAGCCGCCGCGGGCGCGCGGAACGUCGGCGCGCCCAUCGCGGUCCUGCAGUCCCUCGCUCUGACCCGGGAUCCGCGCCGGCGCGCGCUCGGGGCCCUGCACCAACUUCCAGUCCUCUAACGCUCCCAGGUGAUUGAGGCCACAGGAAAUGAUGGAGACCUCAGAGAUCAUCUGGGAACACCCUCCUCCUCUGGGGAACUACCCAGAACUCUGACCCAGAAGAACGAGGCUGUUGAGCACAGGACAGAUCAGUGGGGGUGUUCAGGACGAAGACAUGAACUUUGCAGGACCUAUAGUCGCAUUGGAGCAGCAACUCCUCGCCAGAGUUGAGGCACUUCAUCUCUCGUUGCUGAUCCCGUCUUCACAGCAUCAUGCUGAUGACCAUUCAUGGCUUAAAGUGCUUUCCAGGUGCAUUUCUGCAGCAUGAUAAACCACCUUGGUCGGCUGAACACAUUUCUUGGUUUUACAUCCUGACAAAAGCAAGGCAGGAAAAUUAAAGCACUCACUGUCCCUGACUCUCUUCCAGUUAUGGGGAGAUGGAGAGGACCUGAAGAAUAUUCUUAGCAAAUGAUAUGUUAACAAGGAG